GCUGAACUGCUAGAAAGUCUGUUUCAGGCAUCUAUGAAAUUUUACAUAAAUAUCAUUUGUAAGAGGUGACAUCUAGAUGACAU
rnacentral:sRNA from 1 species